rnacentral:rRNA from 1 species
CCUGCAGUCGACGGUGACGAGGGAGCUUGCUCCUUCUGAUCAGUGGCGAACGGGUGAGUAACACGUGAGUAACCUGCCCUUGACUCUGGGAUAAGCACUGGAAACGGUGUCUAAUACCGGAUACGAACUUCAGCCGCAUGGCUAGGAGUUGGAAAGAAUUUCGGUCAAGGAUGGACUCGCGGCCUAUCAGCUAGUUGGUGAGGUAAUGGCUCACCAAGGCGACGACGGGUAGCCGGCCUGAGAGGGUGACCGGCCACACUGGGACUGAGACACGGCCCAGACUCCUACGGGAGGCAGCAGUGGGGAAUAUUGCACAAUGGGCGCAAGCCUGAUGCAGCAACGCCGCGUGAGGGACGACGGCCUUCGGGUUGUAAACCUCUUUUAGUAGGGAAGAAGCGAAAGUGACGGUACCUGCAGAAAAAGCACCGGCUAACUACGUGCCAGCAGCCGCGGUAAUACGUAGGGUGCAAGCGUUGUCCGGAAUUAUUGGGCGUAAAGAGCUCGUAGGCGGUUUGUCGCGUCUGCUGUGAAAACCCGAGGCUCAACCUCGGGCCUGCAGUGGGUACGGGCAGACUAGAGUGCGGUAGGGGAGAUUGGAAUUCCUGGUGUAGCGGUGGAAUGCGCAGAUAUCAGGAGGAACACCAAUGGCGAAGGCAGAUCUCUGGGCCGUAACUGACGCUGAGGAGCGAAAGCAUGGGGAGCGAACAGGAUUAGAUACCCUGGUAGUCCAUGCCGUAAACGUUGGGAACUAGAUGUGG